CAGUAGCCGCGGUAAUACGUAGGGGGCGAGCGUUGUCCGAAGUUACUGGGCGUAAAGAGCGCGUAGGCUGGUCUUUAAGUGAGUGGUGAAAGGUUCGGGCUCAACCCGGACACUGCCUUUCAUACUGGGGACCUUGAGUGUGGGAGAGGCGAGUGGAAUGGUCGGUGUAGCGGUGAAAUGCGUAGAUAUCGAUCGGAACACCCAUGGCGAAGGCAGCUCGCUGGCCUAACACUGACGCUGAGGCGCGAAAGCGUGGGGAGCAAACAGGAUUAGAUACCCGCGUAGUCCCUGUCUCUUAUAC
rnacentral:rRNA from 1 species